UUUAUGUGUGUGUGUGUGUGUGUGUGUGUGUGUGUGCGCGCGCGCACACACACACACACACACACAUUAACU